UAACAAGGCACAUGCCUUGUUUGCUUCACGGUCAAACAAGUCCUGCAGGACUACUAACGGGAACAGCAUUCCUGCUGUGGAAAAAGUGCAGGAACGCUGUUCCCACGCGUUCAUGUAGGACUCGAGCCCUGCCUACAUGUUAUUAUAUCGUUAAAGUGCCAGAACAAUGUUACUGCUGGCAUGGCUUGGCUAUUGUGACACUACUAUAUUCAAGGACAUUGUGCAGCAAAGCACAAAUCUAAAGGAUGUGUGUUGUCUACUUUCACGAGCAAAGGAAUUUGGUAUCAAACUAGCUCAAUCUUAAAUUGGGACUUUUUUUUCCAUAAUCAACACUCUUAAUGCUGGUUAAGUGUUCAUUGAAAACCAUCUUAUACAAGUCUGCAUCAAGCAAACAAGAUGGCUUUUUAAAGUAGAUGCAAUAUAUCACAUAUUUGACUAAUAAUUAACAACAUAUAGGUUAACUUGAAUCAGCUCUAUGGACCUGUAGAAACAUUAACUGAAAAUCAAGCAUAAAUUAUCAGAUAUUAUGUUCUGACAAAAGGGAAUUAUAAUUUAGAACAAUAAAAAUAACAAAUAAAUAUCAAAUUACCAUAGUGAGAAACAAAACAUAUUAAUUACCUCCCUUCUUAAUGCCAUGUCACCAAGCGACCUA